CUACGGGGCGCACCAGUAGGGAAUAUUGGACAAUGGGCGAAAGCCUGAUCCAGCAACACCGCGUGCACGAUGACGGCCUUCGGGUUGUAAAGUGCUUUUAGAGGAGAUGAGAAAGGACAGUAUCCUCUGAAUAAGCCUCGGCGAACUACGUGCCAGCAGCCGCGGUAAAACGUAGGAGGCAAGCGUUAUCCGGAUUUAUUGGGCGUAAAGCGCGUGCAGGCGGUCUAGCAAGUUGGAUGUGAAAGCUCCCGGCUCAACUGGGAGAGGUCGUUCAAUACUGUUAGACUAGAGAAUAGGAGAGGGAGGUGGAAUUCCGGGUGUAGUGGUGAAAUGCGUAGAUAUCCGGAGGAACACCAGUGGCGAAAGCGGCCUCCUGGACUAUUUCUGACGCUAAGACGCGAAAGCUAGGGUAGCAAACGGGAUUAAUACCCCCGUAGUC
rnacentral:rRNA from 1 species